CCUGUUAUUAAAAACAUGGCUUGUUGAGUAUGUUUUCAGGUCUGGCCUGCCCGCUGAUUUUUGAAUGGCCGCGGUAUAUUGACCGUGCAAAGGUAGCAUAAUAAUUAGUUUUUUAAUUGAAAGCUUGAAUGAAAGGUUAAAUGGAAAAAUUACUGUCUCUAAAAAAAUUUAAUAGAAUUUUAUUUUUGAGUAAAAAAGCUCAAAUUUUUAUGAAAGACGAGAAGACCCUAUAGAGUUUUAUAAAUAAACAGUUUUCAAUAAUUAGGAAUUAAUAGUUUUGGACCUGUAUAAUUUAUUUUAUUGGGGUGAUGGGAAAAUUUGAGAAACUUUUCUUUGUUUAUUAUACUAAUAAGUAAAUAAGUGAUCCUUAAGUUGAGAGUUACAAGAAUAAAUUACCUUAGGGAUAACAGCGUAAUUUAUUCUAGAGUUCUUAUCGAAGAAAAAGUUUACGACCUCGAUGUUGGAUUAAAAUAAAUUGUUGGUGAAGAAGUUAACAAGAUUAGGUCUGUUCGACCUUUAAAAUUUUACAUGAUCUGAGUUUAAACCGGUGUAAGCCAGGUCGGUUUCUAUCU
rnacentral:rRNA from 1 species